rnacentral:rRNA from 1 species
UACGUAGGGUGCAAGCGUUAAUCGGAAUUACUGGGCGUAAAGCGUGCGCAGGCGGUUGUGCAAGACAGAUGUGAAAUCCCCGGGCUCAACCUGGGAAUUGCAUUUGUGACUGCACGGCUAGAGUGUGUCAGAGGGGGGUAGAAUUCCACGUGUAGCAGUGAAAUGCGUAGAGAUGUGGAGGAAUACCGAUGGCGAAGGCAGCCCCCUGGGAUAACACUGACGCUCAUGCACGAAAGCCAGGGGAGCGAACGGG